CUCGGGCUAUCCAGAGAGGUUUUUCGAUAGCGUUCGUCAGUUGAGUCCUAAAGUUCUGCGCGAAUGCCUGGACAGCGAUUUUGAGCUCUUCCAGUGGUAUAACAAAGGAAUGGGCGUUGACUCAAAGGUGAAUGGGCACGUCGCAGCCUGUAUCAUGCCGUUUGUACGCGUCGGCGCAGCUUCUGGGCCUCCGGAAAAAGGAAAUGACCCGUGUCACAAGACAUCUGAUGAACAUGUGUUGCUUCAUGUUAGUAAGCGUCGAGGAGUCGCAAGGGAGAGUGGUGUCGUGAAGUCGGCAAGCACGUGGACUUCACGGACUUUGGAAUGUAGAUCGCGUGCCCCAGAUGCCUGAACGGCUCGAGCUUUCGAUGAAAAAAGUGCACAGCGGUCUUCUUUUCAGUGUGAAAUGAGUACCGGGAAGGAUCUCUGAACGUAUUUGUAUUCUGUAGACAGCAGGCUCGGCAAUCGCAGAUAACCCCCAGGUCCAUGUGGGUGUCCCGAGAAGGGGGGGGGGGGGAGGAGGAGGACCAGUGGACGUAGAGUGUGCUGGGUGAUAACGAGGAAGCACGGUGAGAAAGGGGUAACAAAGCUCUUACUCGAUCUUCUAUGUUCUGUCAUUGAAAAGGGGGACAUGAGUUUGUAGAAGAAAAGAGCCAGUUCUUUUCCAGUACGCAAAAGGCCAAAAACAUAAGGUCAUCCACGCGGCAACCACGGGUACCAAAAUCUUGUCUCGCAAGGGUGGAUACGCGCGACGCCUUUUCCUGCUGGGCUACUCGAAUUGAAUCCGCAAUCCAAAUGCCGACAACACCCAGUGUUUCUCUGAGCUCAAACGUCCCGGAAUCCAGUCAACUGUAUCAUCAUGUCUUAUGGAGUUUGACUGGUUGUCGCCAGGAGCUAACGUUGGAGCUGCGUCAAAAGCGGUUCAUCGGAUUUGCAAUCUGGGCUCUCCACUGGGCUCGUGCUUCAUAUUUUGACUGAGACUCUUCAUUUUCACGAAACCGCAUUUUGAUUCCGCAGUUCCAGGUCUUUCAUCGUGCCAACUCGGAAGUGGCGGGUCCCACGGAAAUGUUUUCCGGCAGCGACCGACCGACAUGUGCACAGGCAUCGCUCUUAAGGGAUGCGAAACACGAACUGCGGAUGCGACCUUCCGCUCCAAAGUCGUACACCAAUGCAACGCUAUCACUGUCUGAUUGUGAGCGAUCUUUUUUUGCAUCUGUUGUGCAAAUCCACAGACAAAGACGGCCAGCGCGACGCUCAAAAGCCAGGUGGGGAUUCGCACAGGAUCACGCUGCUGUAUGUGUAUAUACCUUUAUGAACGGCCCGCUGGCAGAAGAUGAAAGAUGUCCAGGUGUAGGCAUUUGUUUGCCGUGUUCACAGCCAUGCCUGAGUCGGACGGUCCACUUCUGUUAGACAUUUGAUCGUUCUCCCCCCGCGAAUCAUCCUCGCAGAGCUGCUGGAUGUGAUCACGCAGGGGCGGCGCAGAAGCGGCAGCUGUCCCUGGCUGGCCGUGUAAACUGCAUGUGCAUCGUCAUUUUUGUAAAAUGUACAGCACAGUAAACCAAGAGGAUUUUCUGCUACACUUUUUUGUGCGGACGCCUGAAAUACACGUGGCUGCUGCCACGGAAAUCGCGCACACCGCAGUAGAUGAAACAUGAGUGUUUACUGACCCCUAACCAAGCGUGUUGCCGGAGGAUCUUGGAAUCUGAGGCAGCCGAAGGAGACAAUCCGAACAGCAGUAGUUAUUACUCAUGUGACUGUGAACUACGAAUAGAUCUUGCAUUACGGCCUAGCAGACAGUGUCCGGCCCAAUGCGGGGGCGCAGUUGAAAAGGAAUCUGCUUUCCCCUUUCAUGCACCUGGCGUUCGUACGAAAGGCUUCAUUUCAACGAACAGAUCCUCGGUACUGUGUGUCCGUGCCACCGCGAACGUAGCUCCGCGCGCCGUUAUUCGCGGUUUUCUCCAGAGAUGUCAUCCACAGUGACAUUCAAUCUAUGAGCGUCCGCUGGUUCGUCGUUGUGUCUAGCUGAAGUGCCAGAAAAGCGUGUUCUUCCGACCUAUACAUCAGAACGAAGACAGACCGGGACGGAACACGCACAGAAGACAUAUGAAGGCUCCCGCUAAUCGAAAACAGCAUAUUAACCAUAUAUGCACACCGAAGCCCGCCAAUCCGAGGAUUUGCGCUGUCGCGUACUACCUGAAGAAUCUUCCGUCGAAAUGCAUCCUAUCCAGCG
rnacentral:lncRNA from 1 species